CUACGGGAUGCAGCAGUGAGGAAUAUUGGACAAUGGGCGCAAGCCUGAUCCAGCAAUGCCGCGUGAGUGAAGACGGCCUUAGGGUUGUAAAACUCUUUCGCUAGGGAAGAUAAUGACUGUACCUAGUAAAGAAGUCCCGGCUAACUCCGUGCCAGCAGCCGCGGUAAUACGGAGGGGACUAGCGUUGUUCGGAAUUACUGGGCGUAAAGAGUUCGUAGGCGGACUGACAAGUUAGAGGUGAAAUCCCAGGGCUCAACCCUGGAACUGCCUUUAAAAUUGUCAGUCUAGAGACCGGAAGAGGUUAGGGGAAUACCUAGUGUAGAGGUGAAAUUCGUAGAUAUUAGGUGGAACACCAGUGGCGAAGGCGCCUAACUGGUCCGGUACUGACGCUGAGGAACGAAAGCGUGGGGAGCAAACAGGAUUAGAUACCCUAGUAGUC
rnacentral:rRNA from 1 species